GGGGCUGUAGCUCAGUGGCAGAGCACUUGCCUAGCAUGUGUGAGGCACUGGGUUCAAUCCUCAGCAGCACCA
rnacentral:tRNA from 1 species